rnacentral:rRNA from 1 species
GGGCCCGCACAAGCGGUGGAGUAUGUGGUUUAAUUCGAUGCAACGCGAAGAACCUUACCAGGGUUUGACAUCCUGCGAAUCUCUUGGAAACAGGAGAGUGCCUUCGGGAACGCAGUGACAGGUGGUGCAUGGCUGUCGUCAGCUCGUGUCGUGAGAUGUUGGGUUAAGUCCCGCAACGAGCGCAACCCACGUCUUUAGUUGCCAGCAUUUAGUUGGGCACUCUAGAGAGACUGCCAGUGAUAAGCUGGAGGAAGGUGGGGAUGACGUCAAGUCCUCAUGGCCCUUAUGUGUUGGGCUACACACGUGCUACAAUGGUAGUGACAAUGGGUUAAUCCCAAAAAGCUAUCUCAGUUCGGAUUGUCGUCUGCAACUCGACUGCAUGAAGCCGGAAUCGCUAGUAAUCGC